GACGAACGCUGGCGGCGUGCCUAAUACAUGCAAGUAGAACGCACAGUUUAUACCGUAGCUUGCUACACCAUAAACUGUGAGUUGCGAACGGGUGAGUAACGCGUAGGUAACCUGCCUGGUGGCGGGGGAUAACUAUUGGAAACGAUAGCUAAUACCGCAUAAUAUUGAUUAUUGCAUGAUAAUUGAUUGAAAGAUGCUAUUGCAUCACUACCAGAUGGACCUGCGUUGUAUUAGCUAGUAGGUGAGGUAACGGCUCACCUAGGCGACGAUACAUAGCCGACCUGAGAGGGUGAUCGGCCACACUGGGACUGAGACACGGCCCAGACUCCUACGGGAGGCAGCAGUAGGGAAUCUUCGGCAAUGGACGAAAGUCUGACCGAGCAACGCCGCGUGAGUGAAGAAGGUUUUCGGAUCGUAAAGCUCUGUUGUAAGAGAAGAACGGGUGUGAGAGUGGAAAGUUCACACUGUGACGGUAUCUUACCAGAAAGGGACGGCUAACUACGUG
rnacentral:rRNA from 1 species